CUACGUAGGGGGCGAGCGUUGUCCGGAAUGAUUGGGCGUAAAGGGCGCGUAGGCGGCCUGUUAAGUCUGGAGUGAAAGUCCUGUUUUCAAGAUGGGAAUUGCUUUGGAUACUGAUGGGCUUGAGUGCAGGAGAGGUUAUCGGAAUUCCCGGUGUAGCGGUGAAAUGCGUAGAGAUCGGGAGGAACACCAGUGGCGAAGGCGGGUAACUGGACUGCAACUGACGCUGAGGCGCGAAAGUGUGGGGAGCAAACAGGAUUAGAUACCCUGGUAGUCCACACUGUAAACGAUGAAUGCUAGGUGUAAGAGGUAUCGACCCCUUUUGUGCCGGAGUUAACACAAUAAGCAUUCCGCCUGGGGAGUACGGCCGCAAGGUUGAAACUUAAAGGAAUUGACGGGG
rnacentral:rRNA from 1 species